rnacentral:rRNA from 1 species
AGAGUUUGAUCCUGGCUCAGAUUGAACGCUGGCGGAAUGCUUUACGCAUGCAAGUCGAACGGCAGCACGGGAGCUUGCUCCUGGUGGCGAGUGGCGAACGGGUGAGUAACAUAUCGGAACAUAUCCAGUAAUGGGGGAUAACGCAGCGAAAGUUGUGCUAAUACCGCAUACGCUCUACGGAGGAAAGUGGGGGAUUCGCAAGAACCUCACGUUAUUGGAGUGGCCGAUAUCUGAUUAGCUAGUUGGUGGGGUAAAGGCCCACCAAGGCAUCGAUCAGUAGCUGGUCUGAGAGGAUGAUCAGCCACACUGGAACUGAGACACGGUCCAGACUCCUACGGGAGGCAGCAGUGGGGAAUUUUGGACAAUGGGGGCAACCCUGAUCCAGCCAUUCCGCGUGGGUGAAGAAGGCCUUCGGGUUGUAAAGCUCUUUCAGGGGGGAAGAAACGGCGCCGGCCAAUACCCGACGUUAAUGACGGUACCCCCAGAAGAAGCACCGGCUAACUACGUGCCAGCAGCCGCGGUAAUAC